rnacentral:rRNA from 1 species
CUGGGCGUAAAGCGAGCGUAGGUGGCUUGAUAAGUCAGAUGUGAAAUUCCCCGGGCUUAACCCUGGGGAACUGCAUCUGAAACUGUUAGGCUAGAGUAGGUGAGAGGGAAGUAGAAUUUCAGGUGUAGCGGUGAAAUGCGUAGAGAUCUGAAGGAAUACCGAUGGCGAAGGCAGCUUCCUGGCAUCAUACUGACACUGAGGCUCGAAAGCGUGGGUAGCAAACAGGAUUAGAUACCCUGGUAGUCCACGCCGUAAACGAUGUCUACUAGUCGUUGGGUCCCUUGAGGACUUAGUGACGCAGCUAACGCAAUAAGUAGACCGCCUGGGGAGUACGGCCGCAAGGUUAAAACUCAAAUGAAUUGACGGGGGCCCGCACAAGCGGUGGAGCAUGUGGUUUAAUUCGAUGCAACGCGAAGAACCUUACCUGGUCUUGACAUAUCUAGAAUCCUGCAGAGAUGCGGGAGUGCCUUCGGGAAUUAGAAUACAGGUGCUGCAUGGCUGUCGUCAGCUCGUGUCGUGAGAUGUUGGGUUAAGUCCCGCAACGAGCGCAACCCUUGUCCUUAGUUACCAGCGGGUUAAGCCGGGAACUCUAAGGAUACUGCCAGUGACAAACUGGAGGAAGGCGGGGACGACGUCAAGUCAUCAUGGCCCUUACGACCAGGGCUACACACGUGCUACAAUGGUAGGUACAGAGGGCAGCUACACAGCGAUGUGAUGCGAAUCUCAAAAAGCCUAUCGUAGUCCAGAUUGGAGUCUGCAACUCGACUCCAUGAAGUAGGAAUCGCUAGUAAUCGCGGAUCAGAAUGCCGCGGUGAAUACGUUCCCGGGCCUUGUACACCCCCUUUA